AUACUUACCUGGCAGGGAAGAUACCAUGAUCACGAAGCUGGUUUCCCCAGGGUGAGACUUAGUCAUUGCACUCCAAAUGUGCUGCGAUUUCCCCAAAUGUGGGAAACUCGACUGCAUAAUGUGUGGUAGUGGGGGAAUACGUUCAUGCUCUCCCCUU